UACGUAGGAGGCAAGCGUUGUCCGGAAUCACUGGGCGUAAAGCGCGUGUAGGCGGUGCGUGUAGUCUGCUGUGAAAGCGCCUGGCUUAACCGGGCGAGGUCGGCGGAAACUCGCGCACUGGAGGCCGGUAGAGGGGGGUGGAAUUCCCGGUGUAGUGGUGAAAUGCGUAGAGCUCGGGGAGGAACACCCGUGGCGUAGGCGGCCCCCUGGGCCGCGCCUGACGCUGAGACGCGAAAGCGUGGGGAGCGAACGGG
rnacentral:rRNA from 1 species